GAUGAACGCUAGCGGCAGGCUUAACACAUGCAAGUCGAGGGGCAGCAUAAUGGAUAGCAAUAUCUAUGGUGGCGACCGGCGCACGGGUGCGUAACGCGUAUGCAACCUACCUUUAACAGGGGGAUAACACUGAGAAAUUGGUACUAAUACCCCAUAAUAUCAUAGAAGGCAUCUUUUAUGGUUGAAAAUUCCGAUGGUUAGAGAUGGGCAUGCGUUGUAUUAGCUAGUUGGUGGGGUAACGGCUCACCAAGGCGACGAUACAUAGGGGGACUGAGAGGUUAACCCCCCACACUGGUACUGAGACACGGACCAGACUCCUACGGGAGGCAGCAGUGAGGAAUAUUGGUCAAUGGACGCAAGUCUGAUCCAGCCAUGCCGCGUGCAGGAUGACGGCUCUAUGAGUUGUAAACUGCGUUUGUACGAGGGUAAACGCAGAUACGUGUAUCUGUCUGAAAGUAUCGUACGAAUAAGGAUCGGCUAACUCCGUG
rnacentral:rRNA from 1 species